ACUAACGCUGGCGGCGUGCCUAACACAUGCAAGUCGAACGAGCAGCAAUGCUAGUGGCAGACGGGUGAGGAAUACAUGGAUAACGUGCCCCGGACACAGGGAUAGCGUUGUGAAAAUGACGGUAAUACCUGAUGACCCCGUAGGACCGCAUGGUCUAGCGGGCAAAGCUCCGACGGUCCGGGAGCGAUUCAUGUCCUAUCAGCUAGUUGGCGGGGUAACGGCCCACCAAGGCUACGACGGGUACCGGGCGUGAGAGCGCGACCCGGCACAUCGGAACUGAGACACGGUCCGGACACCUACGGGUGGCUGCAGCAACGAAUAUUCCGCAAUGGACGAAAGUCUGACGGAGCGACGCCGCGUGCAGGAUGAAGUCCCUCGGGAUGUAAACUGCUGUCAGGGGUUAGGAAUAAAUGACCAGCCCCAGAGGAAGCCACGGCUAACUCCGU
rnacentral:rRNA from 1 species